CUACGGGUGGCUGCAGUGGGGAAUAUUGCACAAUGGGCGCAAGCCUGAUGCAGCCAUGCCGCGUGUAUGAAGAAGGCCUUCGGGUUGUAAAGUACUUUCAGCGGGGAGGAAGGGAGUAAAGUUAAUACCUUUGCUCAUUGACGUUACCCGCAGAAGAAGCACCGGCGUAACUCCGUGCCAGCAGCCGCGGUAAUACGGAGGGUGCAAGCGUUAAUCGGAAUUACUGGGCGUAAAGCGCACGCAGGCGGUUUGUUAAGUCAGAUGUGAAAUCCCCGGGCUCAAUCUGGGAACUGCAUCUGAUACUGGCAAGCUUGAGUCUCGUAGAGGGGGGUAGAAUUCCAGGUGUAGCGGUGAUAUGCGUAGAGAUCUGGAGGAAUACCGGUGGCGAAGGCGGCCCCCUGGACGAAGACUGACGCUCAGGUGCGAAAGCGUGGGGAGCAAACAGGAUUAGAUACCCUUGUAGUC
rnacentral:rRNA from 1 species